CCGUGUGCCUACAACCGAUCGGAGCACGUUAAAGUGUGACGAUGUGCUUUUUGUAGAACGAGCCAGCGAGUUACGCUAUGUAGCAAGGUUAAGUACUUAAGGUAUGGAGCCGAAGGGAAACCGAGUCUGAAAAAGGCGAAAAGUUGCAUGGUGUAGACCCGAAACCGGGUGACCUAUCCAUGGCCAGGUUGAAGCGAGAGUAAAAUCUCGUGGAGGACCGAACCACGUUGGUGUUGAAAAACCAUGGGAUGAGCUGUGGAUAGCGGAGAAAUUCCAAUCGAACUCGGAGAUAGCUGGUUCUCCCCGAAAUAGCUUUAGGGCUAGCGUCGUGUAAUUGAGUAAUGGAGGUAGAGCACUGAAUGGGCUAGGGGCUAUAGUAGUUACCGAACCCUAGCAAACUCCGAAUGCCAUAUACUUGUAUCACGGCAGUCAGACUGCGAAUGAUAAGAUCCGUAGUCAAAAGGGAAACAGCCCAGACCAUCAGCUAAGGUCCCAAAGUGUAAGUUAAGUGGAAAAGGAUGUGGGAUUUCUAAGACAACUAGGAUGUUGGCUUAGAAGCAGCCACUCAUUUAAAGAGUGCGUAAUAGCUCACUAGUCAAGAGAUCCUGCGCCGAAGAUGUCCGGGGCUCAAACUUACCACCGAAGCUAUGGGUGUACAC
rnacentral:ncRNA from 1 species